rnacentral:rRNA from 1 species
AACCUGCCUCGGAGUGGGGGAAAACACAACGAAAAGCUGUGCUAAUACCGCAUGAUGCAGUUGGGUCGCAUGACUCUGACUGUCAAAGAUUUAUCGCUCUGAGAUGGCCUCGCGUCUGAUUAGCUGGUUGGCGGGGUAACGGCCCACCAAGGUGACGAUCAGUAGCCGGACUGAGAGGUUGACCGGCCACAUUGGGACUGAGACACGGCCCAG